rnacentral:snoRNA from 1 species
UUGCAUGUGGAAAUGUCUGCUCCACAUUCCUUUAGGAGCAGAAAUAUAUCCAUAACAUGCUACAUUAAAAUAGGGGGUCUCAGAGCUGCCAACCUUAUAGAAGAGGUUGCGUAGUAGUAUAUGUCUCCUACAUUA